rnacentral:rRNA from 1 species
GUGAACGCUGGCGGCGUGCUUUAAGCAUGCAAGUGGGACGAGUCACCGCAAGGUGACAAGUCGCGAACGGCUGAGUAACACGUAAGAACGUACCUCGUAGUGUGGAAUACCUCGUCGAAAGACGAGCUAAUACCGCAUGUGGCACUUGUGCCAAAGGGUUUAACUACCCGCUAUGAGAGCGGCUUGCGGCCCAUCAGCUUGUUGGUAGGGUAACGGCCUACCAAGGCUACGACGGGUAGGGGAUGUGAGAGCAUGACCCCCCAGAAUAGGACUGAGACACGGCCUAUACACCUACGGGUGGCAGCAACUGGGAAUCGUGUGCAAUGGGCGAAAGCCUGACACCGCGACGCCGCGUGAGGGAUGAAGGCCGGAAGGUCGUAAACCUCUUUUGCCAUAGUCGAAAGGCUAUGGAGAAUAAGCAUCCGCUAACUACGU